rnacentral:lncRNA from 1 species
CAGAGUUUAAAUUACUUCAAGGUAUCAGGUUAGGCUCAUAUGCCUGGGUGCUGAUUCACAAAGAACAUAAAUGCUAUAAUAUUGGCAGAUUCUUUUUCAGAAGUUCUUUAGAAAAUAUCCCUAGAAAGUGUUACUUUCUACUAGAUCCUUUACCGAAUUGCUCCAACAAGGAAGUAGUCCCAAGCAUGAAUACUCUGCUUCUGUUUAUGAGUGUGCUAGGUAUAUCCUUUGCUUCUCCAAUCAAAAGAAGCAUAAAUUUACUUGGAAGUGGCUAUGUGGAAAAUGUUGCCAAUGUUAAUGCCAUUAAUGCAAACACAGAAAACUUAAGCAAUGGCUCUGGGAAUGCUGGGAGGAACCAACAGAAUGGCAAGAAUGAAAACAAUGAGCACCCAGAAGGAGCAAAAUUCAGUAAUUAUACACGAGGACCCAAUCAAACUGGAGAGGUGUCUGCAAUUGAUAUUAACAAUCCCCAGGGGGCUUAUGAGGAUAAACCCAAUAAUCAACCAGUCCCUGAGGACCCUCCUAAUACCCAAGGAACACAAAACACUGAUCAAAAUGCUGAGCUUCGCACAGGGAAAGGAAUUUAUCAUCUUCAUUUAGACCUUCAUGUGAACACAAACCGCACCAGUGAACACAAUUCAUCUGAACAUUUGCCAGGGAAAAACAGUGUUUAUGGUUCAGCAUGGGCAGAAAAGGGUUCUGCACCUGAGGAUGCAGAGCUCUCCACUGACAAACAAGGUGCCAUAGAAGCCCACAAUGACAGUGGCUUUAAUGUAGAGGAAAAGGAUGAGGAUAUGGAUAAUGGCCACCAUCAUUCAGACAACUGUUGUUUUAACGAUGAAGGCAUGCAAAGGGUUGAUCCAGGUAAUGCUGGUGAUAGUGCUGACUCUAACUCUAGUCAGCAGGAAGAAAGCAAUAGCAACUCUGCACAAUCCACUCCAAAACACUGCAAGAGUAUCCCCAGUGAAUCAAGGAGUAAAUCUGCUCAUCAGAAUACUAGUGUCACCAGUGAUUCCAUCAGCCUCAGUGCCGCUAGCUCCUUCAGCGACCCCAGUGCCUCAAGUGACACCAGCGACUCCAGUGCCUCAACUGAUUCCAGUGAUUCCAGUGCCUCAAGUGACCCUAGUGCCUCAAGUGACUCCAGCGACCCCAGUGCCUCAAGUGACUCCAAUAAUUCCAGAGAAUCCAGCAGCUUCAGUAAUUCCAGUGAAUCCAAUGAAACAAGAUAG